rnacentral:piRNA from 1 species
UGAAUCAUAACAAAACGUAAUGAGGUC